rnacentral:rRNA from 1 species
AGAGUUUGAUUAUGGCUCGGGAUGAACGCUAGCUACAGGCUUAACACAUGCAAGUCGAGGGGUAGCAGGGUAGCAAUACCGCUGACGACCGGCGCACGGGUGAGUAACACGUAUCCAACCUUCCCAUAACUCAGGGAUAGCCUUUCGAAAGAAAGAUUAAUACCUGAUAGUACUUUUUCAAGGCAUCUUGAGAAAGUUAAAGAUUUAUUGGUUAUGGAUGGGGAUGCGUUCCAUUAGAUAGUUGGUGAGGUAACGGCUCACCAAGUCUUCGAUGGAUAGGGGUUCUGAGAGGAAGGUCCCCCACAUUGGUACUGAGACACGGACCAAACUCCUACGGGAGGCAGCAGUGAGGAAUAUUGGUCAAUGGGCGAGAGCCUGAACCAGCCAAGUAGCGUGAAGGAAUGAAGGUCCUAUGGAUUGUAAACUUCUUUUAUAGUAGAAUAAAGUGAUCCACGUGUGGAUUUUUGUAUGUAUACUAUGAAUAAGGAUCGGCUAACUCCGUGCCAGCCGCCGC